UACAGAGGAGCCAAGCGUUGUCCGGAUUGACUGGGCGUAAAGCGCACGCAGGCGGAUGCGCGCGUGGGGUGUGAAAUCUGGCCGCUUAACGGCCAGGCGCCAUCCCAUACGGCGCGUCUGGAGUGAUGCAGAGGUCGAUGGAAUUGCCGGUGUAGUGGUGAAAUGCGUAGAGAUCGGCAGGAACACCCAGGGGGAAACCAGUCGACUGGGCAUCUAUUGACGCUGAGGUGCGAGAGCGUGGGGAGCGAACCGG
rnacentral:rRNA from 1 species